rnacentral:siRNA from 1 species
UUACAACGAGGACUGUGAUAGGAC